AAAAGAAAUACACGUUGGCGCCAAAAUGUUUAUUGAAAACUUGCUUCCAUUCCCAGCCUCCGAGCCCGUGGGCUGUCAUCAACACCGGCCCAAUGAUGAUAAAAGUUUAUAUUACUCCAUGACAAAAAAACAAACAAACCUUGCGUAACUUCAA